rnacentral:rRNA from 1 species
GAUGAACGCUGGCGGCGUGCCUAAUACAUGCAAGUCGAGCGAACAGACGAGGAGCUUGCUCCUCUGACGUUAGCGGCGGACGGGUGAGUAACACGUGGAUAACCUACCUAUAAGACUGGGAUAACUUCGGGAAACCGGAGCUAAUACCGGAUAAUAUAUUGAACCGCAUGGUUCAAUAGUGAAAGACGGUUUUGCUGUCACUUAUAGAUGGAUCCGCGCCGCAUUAGCUAGUUGGUAAGGUAACGGCUUACCAAGGCAACGAUGCGUAGCCGACCUGAGAGGGUGAUCGGCCACACUGGAACUGAGACACGGUCCAGACUCCUACGGGAGGCAGCAGUAGGGAAUCUUCCGCAAUGGGCGAAAGCGUGACGGAGCAACGCCGCGUGAGUGAUGAAGGUCUUCGGAUCGUAAAACUCUGUUAUUAGGGAAGAACAAAUGUGUAAGUAACUAUGCACGUCUUGACGGUACCUAAUCAGAAAGCCACGGCUAACUACGUG